rnacentral:rRNA from 1 species
UACAGAGGUCUCAAGCGUUGUUCGGAUUCAUUGGGCGUAAAGCGCACGUAGGCGGAUUCUUAAGUCAGGGGUGAAAUCCUGGAGCUCAACUCCAGAACUGCCUUUGAUACUGGGAGUCUCGAGUCCGGGAGAGGUGAGUGGAACUGCGAGUGUAGAGGUGAAAUUCGUAGAUAUUCGCAAGAACACCAGUGGCGAAGGCGGCUCACUGGCCCGAUACUGACGCUGAGGCACGAAAGCGUGGGGAGCAAACAGG